rnacentral:rRNA from 1 species
UAGGGAAUAUUGCACAAUGGGCGAAAGCCUGAUGCAGCAACGCCGCGUGCACGAUGAAGGCCUUCGGGUUGUAAAGUGCUUUUCUGGAGGACGAGGAAGGACGGUACUCCAGGAAUAAGGAUCGGCUAACUACGUGCCAGCAGCCGCGGUAAAACGUAGGAUCCGAGCGUUAUCCGAAUUCACUGGGCGUAAAGCGCGUGCAGGCGGCCUAGUAAGUUGGAUGUGAAAUCUCCUGGCUCAACUGGGAGAGGACGUUCAAGACUGCCCGGCUCGAGGACGGUAGAGGGAGGUAGAAUUCCCGGUGUAGUGGUGAAAUGCGUAGAUAUCGGGAGGAAUACCAGUGGCGAAGGCGGCCUCCUGGACCGUACCUGACGCUCAGACGCGAAAGCUAGGGGAGCAAACGG